rnacentral:rRNA from 1 species
GACGAACGCUGGCGGCGCGCCUAAUACAUGCAAGUCGAACGAGAGAGUUCGGUGCUUGCUCUGGUCAAUCUAGAGAAGAACGGGUGAGUACCAAGUGGGUAACCAGCCCAUCAGAACGUGACUUUAUCCGGAAAAUGAUGUCAAAAACGCAUAGGUCUUCGAGCCGCACACCUUGCCGACGCAAAGAAGCGCAAGCUACUGUCGAUGGAUGGACCAGCGGUGCGUUAGCUAGUAGGUGAGGUGAGGGCUCACGAAGGCCGUGAUGCAUAGUCCACCUGAGAGGCAGAUCGGCCACAUGGGGACUGAGACACGGCCGAAACUCCUGCGGGAGGCAGCAGUAGGGAAUCUUCCGCGAUGGACGCAAGGCUGACGGUGCAACGCCGCGUGAGUGAAGAAGGUGUUCGGAUCGUAAAACUCUGUUGUUAGAGAAGAACAAGUGCUAGAGUAACUGUUAGCGCCUUGACGGUAUCUAACCAGAAAGCCACGGCUAACUACGUG